UUUCCGUAGGUGAACCUGCGGAAGGAUCAUUAUUGAAUGAAACACUUCUGGCUUUAUGCUGUUGUGCUGGCCCUUUGGGCAAUGUGCACACGGCUCUGGUCACUUGUUUCUUCUGUUCCACCUGUGCACUGCCUGUAGACACGCUGUGUCUAUGAUAUUUGUUAACACACAACAAUGUUAGUUGGCAUGUUAUAUAUAAUAAUAAAAUAUACAACUUUCAACAACGGACCUCUUGGCUCUCGCAUCAAUGAAGAACGCAGC
rnacentral:misc_RNA from 1 species